UACGAGGGGGGCGAGCGUUGUUCGGAAUUAUUGGGCGUAAAGGGUGCGUAGGCGGUUUGGUAAGUCUUGUGUGAAAUCUACAGGCUUAACUUGUGGUCUGCACGAGAAACUGCCGGGCUUGAGUAUGGGAGAGGUGAGUGGAAUUCCUGGUGUAGCGGUGAAAUGCGUAGAUAUCAGGAGGAACACCUGUGGCGAAAGCGGCUCACUGGACCAUAACUGACGCUGAUGCACGAAAGCUAGGGGAGCAAACAGG
rnacentral:rRNA from 1 species